AGUGAACGCUGGCGGCAGGCCUAAUACAUGCAAGUCGAACGGCAGCACAGCAGAGCUUGCUCUGUGGGUGGCGAGUGGCGGACGGGUGAGGAAUACAUGGGAAUCUGCCCAGUCGUGGGGGAUAACGUAGGGAAACUUACGCUAAUACCGCAUGCGCCCUUCGGGGGAAAGCCGGGGACCUUCGGGCCUGGCGCGAUUGGAUGAGCCCAUGUCGGAUUAGCUAGUUGGCGGGGUAAUGGCCCACCAAGGCGACGAUCCGUAGCUGGUCUGAGAGGAUGAUCAGCCACACUGGAACUGAGACACGGUCCAGACUCCUACGGGAGGCAGCAGUAGGGAAUAUUGGACAAUGGGCGCAAGCCUGAUCCAGCCAUGCCGCGUGAGUGAAGAAGGCCCUCGGGUUGUAAAGCUCUUUUGUCCGGAAAGAAAAGCAUCCAGUUAAUACCUGGGUGUCCUGACGGUACCGGAAGAAUAAGCACCGGCUAACUUCGUGCCAGCCGCCGCGGUAAAAC
rnacentral:rRNA from 1 species